CUGGCGGCAGGCCUAACACAUGCAAGUCGAGCGGUAACAGAAAGUAGCUUGCUACUUUGCUGACGAGCGGCGGACGGGUGAGUAAUGCUUGGGAACAUGCCUUGAGGUGGGGGACAACAGUUGGAAACGACUGCUAAUACCGCAUAAUGUCUACGGACCAAAGGGGGCUUCGGCUCUCGCCUUUAGAUUGGCCCAAGUGGGAUUAGCUAGUUGGUGAGGUAAUGGCUCACCAAGGCAACGAUCCCUAGCUGGUUUGAGAGGAUGAUCAGCCACACUGGAACUGAGACACGGUCCAGACUCCUACGGGAGGCAGCAGUGGGGAAUAUUGCACAAUGGGCGAAAGCCUGAUGCAGCCAUGCCGCGUGUGUGAAGAAGGCCUUCGGGUUGUAAAGCACUUUCAGUCAGGAGGAAAGGGUGUGAGUUAAUACCUCAUAUCUGUGACGUUACUGACAGAAGAAGCACCGG
rnacentral:rRNA from 1 species